rnacentral:rRNA from 1 species
UACGGGGGGGGCAAGCGUUGUUCGGAAUUACUGGGCAUAAAGGGUGCGUAGGCGGCUUGUUAAGUCAGGGGUGAAAUCCCACGGCCCAACCGUGGAACUGCCUUUGAUACUGGCGAGCUUGAGUGCGUGAGGGGUAACCGGAACGAGUAGUGUAGCGGUGAAAUGCGUAGAUAUUACUCGGAAGGCCAAAGGCGAAGGCAGGUUACUGGUACGCAACUGACGCUGAUGCACGAAAGCGUGGGGAGCAAACAGG